rnacentral:rRNA from 1 species
AAUCAACGCUGGCGGCGUGCCUAACACAUGCAAGUCGAACGCGAAAGGGGACUUCGGUUCCUGAGUAGAGUGGCGUACGGGUGAGUAACGCGUGGGUCAUCUGCCCUCGGGUGGGGAAUAACUAAUCGAAAGGUUAGCUAAUACCGCAUAACACAGUGAUGUCAAAGCAGCAAUGUGCCUGAGGAGGAGCCUGCGUCUGAUUAGGUAGUUGGUGGGGUAACGGCCUACCAAGCCUGCGAUCAGUAGCUGGUCUGAGAGGACGGCCAGCCACAAUGGCGCUGAAACACGGGG